AGCAGCCGCGGUAAUUCCAGCUCCAAUAGCGUAUAUUAAAGUUGCUGCAGUUAAAAAGCUCGUAGUUGAAUUUCGGGACUAAUAUGUCGGUCGUGCCUCGGUACGUACUGGUUUAUUGGUUUCUCCUUUCUGAAGAACCAUGAUGUCAUUUAUUUGGUGUCGUGGGGAAUCAGGACUGUUACUUUGAAAAAAUUAGAGUGUUUAAAGCAGGCUCACGCUUGAAUACAUUAGCAUGGAAUAAUGAAAUAGGACGUUUGAUUCUAUUUUGUUGGUUUCUAGGAUCGACGUAAUGAUUAAUAGGGAUAGUUGGGGGCAUUAGUAUUCAAUUGUCAGAGGUGAAAUUCUUGGAUUUAUUGAAGACUAACUACUGCGAAAGCAUUUGCCAAGGAUGUUUUCAUUAAUCAAGAACGAAAGUUAGGGGAUCGAAGACGAUCAGAUACCGUCGUAGUCUUAACCAUAAACUAUGCCGACUAGGGGAUCGGAUGAUGUUAAUUUUUUUAAUGACUCAUUCGGCGCCUUA
rnacentral:misc_RNA from 1 species